CUCUCUCUCUCUCUCUCUCUGUGUUCGCUGCUUUCUCUCGCUUUCUCGGAGGCCAAACGGCGGUCACCAUGGUCAGGGACGAUCUAUACAUCACGAUACCGACCUUCUUCCGUUGUCCUAUUUCCCUCGAUAUCAUGAAAUCUCCGGUGAGUCUCUGCACCGGCGUUACCUACGACCGUUCCAGCAUUCAACGCUGGCUCGAUAACGGCAACAACACCUGCCCUGCCACCAUGCAGGUUUUGCAAACCAAAGAGUUUGUUCCUAACCGUACUCUACAGAGGCUUAUCCAGAUCUGGUCCGACUCGGUUCACAACCGAGUCGAAUCGGCCGAGUCUCCGGCCACCAGAACAGUGCCCUCGCCGGAUCAGGUAGUCGAAACUGUGAAGUACUUGGACGGCCACGGCGAGAACUGUCUCGAUUCCUUAACAAGAAUUGUAUAUUUCGCCGAAGAAUCUGAAGAGAAUCGAGAGUUCCUUGCGAAGUUAGACGGAUUCGUGCCUUUGCUCGUUGAUUUACUCGACAAUGUCAAUGGCGACGUUGAAAUGCUCGAGCGAGUCAUUAGUGCUUUAGAUACAGUUCUAAAUAAAAUCGAAGAUCGCGAGCAGUUGAAGAGAUUGAUGUUGAAAAACCGCGGUAAUUGCCUAGCUUCUCUGCUCCUAGUUCUGCAACAAGGUAGCGCCGUCUCGAAAAUCGGAUCGGUGAGGAUUCUAAAGUUCAUCGCUGUGGAUGCCGAGUCCAAGGUUACGAUCGCCGAAAAGGAAGGUCUAAUGUCCGAAUUGCUUAAAUCAGUCGCUCCAGACAAGGACCCAGCGCUAAUUGAAAACAGUUUGUCGUGUUUGGUUGCAAUCUCGACGCCUAAGCGGAACAAGUUGAAAUCGAUCCAUCUCGGAGCUAUCAAGACACUUUCGCAGUUACUUUCUGGCUCGAAUUCGAGCACGUCCGUAACGGAAAAGGCUCUGAAACUGCUCGAAACGAUGUCGUCGACUAAAGAAGGUAGGUCGGAGAUCUGCGAGGACCCGGCGUGCUUACCGGCCGUAUUGCAAAAAGUUCUGAAGGUAUCAAGCAUCGCGACGGAGCACGCGGUGAUGAUACUGUGGACUGUGUGUUAUCUGUUUCGCGAUCAGAAGGCGCAGGAAGUGGUGGCAAUGGCCAACGGUUUUACCAAAUUUCUGCUUCUGAUACAGACCAAUUGCUCGCCGGCGGUUCGGCAAAUGUCCGCCGAUUUGCUCAAGAUUUUUCGGACAUGAGGAAGAGGAGGAGAUGAGAAAGAAAGGAAACCACUUACCACUGGGCUUUAUUGCAGGAGAAGCAAGAAAGGAAGGAAGGAAGAGUGCCGCAAAAUGCUGAAAUGGUCCUGGAUUGUGGUGCGUCAUGAGGAAUGUGUGGAUUGGCCGCAGCUAGCAGCAAUAUAAAUAAAGGGGCAAAAAAUAAAACAAAAGGUUGGUUCUCCAAGCACUAUCCCUCCUUUUUCACGUUCUUCCUCUUUUUCUAUUUAUAUAAAUACUGCAAAAUCAAAUAUUCAGUAUAGUGUAUUAGAGAGAGAGAGUGUGUGUGCAUGUGGGGGUUAGUACGUAUUGGAUCAUGUGUGGUCACUGGUCACUAGCUACAAAAGAGUAUAUGAAAACCAACUAGGGCGUGGUUUAUUAUAGUGGAAAGUGCCAUUAUUCGAUGGGGUACCAUGUUGGGGUGCAUUGACAAGUCACGUGCCACGAUCGAAUUGGCUGAAUCGGCAAUACGACAAGUCGUUUUUGUCAGACUUGACCCCUGGAUUCAGGGUGGGAGGAGGGGGUGUGGCUUACUUACACACUCAUUUCUGAGGCUGGGGAUGCAACCCAUCUUUUCCUUGUCCUUUUUGAUUUUUUUUUAAAUUAAUUCAGUGAUAUUUUGUGCUAUAACAAUAAUAAAACGGGAAAAAAUUAGAAUACGUGUAGCAUGUGAUAGUUGCUUUAUUGAUUAGACAAGGGGGGGUGUGAUAUGGUGGGUUUUGACUUACGACCCGUGAGCAUAAGCUGUCCAAUAAGACACAGUGAGAGUUGAAUAAGGAGCACAGUGGAGGGCUUAGAGAAAAGUGCGCCCAAGGACCAAAAGACUCAAACAUUUGAACAUAGGUCCCAAAUAUUGAAAUAAAUUCUACUUGGGAUCUCCCCAUCAUGCAGAGACAGUAUGUUUUUUAAUAGAAAUAUCAAAAUACUCCUUCCUUUUAUGCCAUCGUCUUCAAAUUAUUAAAGAUUUGUAGAUAACUUUCACCUGUGUGUGAGAGAGAGAGAGAGAGAGAGAGAGAUUUUAUUUAUUUAUUUAUUUAUUUUUUGCUGAAAACACAUUUUGCCUACAUGACCUCUGCAGACAAUUUGCCUGUGGCUUAUUCGGAGAUCAAUUGUUGAGCAGUGUGUGAUGAUGAGUGGGCCCAGAAGGAGCCCACUGAAAUGAAAGAGAGAGGUAAAAAAGUACCUACAAACAAUGAAUUAUUAAAAAGAAUCUGAGAGUGCAUGGGCAGGGCUAGGUUGGAUUUUGGAGGACAAUAAUGUAAUGGGAAAGUGGGGAAGGUCUCGGGCAUUUUGUUUGGAAAUGACCCCCUGUCUUUAUUUUUUUUUAAAAAAAAUUAAAAUACUUAUAAAAAUAUGCAUAAUCUUUUUAUUAUAAUAAGUUUUAUAUUUGAUAUGAGAUAUGGAUGAUAUAAUUUUCAAUUUAUAAACUUUUCUAACUAUCAAUUUAUCAAAUUAAAAAUUAUAAAAAUUGAGUUUAUUCAAAUCAAUAAAAUAUAAAUAUUGAAUUAUUUUGAUUAAAAGUUCAAAGUUUAAGGUGAUAAUUAAAAAUAAAAAUAAAAAGCUAAAGGUUAUAUUUUUGGUAGGAGAUAUCUAUUUCUUAACAAGAUACAAGUCAGGUCUCUUGUUGGAUGGAUCAAUUUUUAUUAGCUUUUUUUAAUUAAUUAACAAUAUAAGAAAGCUAAUGGCUCUCCCUUUAUUUUUUUUAAAUUAUCUAAUUUUUCUUUACAUGGAUAAAACUUGAGGCUUAAGUUAGAUCAUGAUCUCAUCUCACUUUUAAUGCAUACAUUUCAUGGGGCUAAUUUUCUUCAAGUAAAGGCUCCUAAUGUAGUAAAAUAAUGGCUCAGACGCGGCCUUAUUUGAUUCCAUCAAUAUGUAAUCUCUACCUCUGAUUAAUUAAUUCUUAAUUAUUCCUCUGAUGAGGGUUUGGAUAUGAUUAAUUAAGCAAAAUUCUCCCCACAAAAUUCAUUGAUUAGACAAUAACCAAGUCCCUUCCUUCCCUAUACUACCUCAAAUCUCACCCUUAAUAAAAUUAUUAUUUAUUUUUAAACUAAUAUCAUCUUUUUAUAUUUAUCUAUAUUUAAUGAAAAAUUUUACUUUAAAAUAAAUGUAAAAUAAUUUAUUCAUUGAGAGCAUUUUUUUUUAAAUAGGCCAUAACUAUGCUUUGAAAUACUAAAAAUGCCUUGAAUUUAAAAAAAAUCUAACCCUAUAAAAAAUAACUUAUAUUUUUUAAUGGAGGGGGUAUUUGGUUAUAUUAUAUAUAUUAUUAAUAAAUACCAUAGUCUAUAUAUAUAUAUAUAUAUAGCACUACAUGCACGUAUUAUUAUUUUCGUGAUCAUUAUAAUUAAUUAUGAUCGUAUCACUUCGGAUCUAAGGUUUCGUGCUUGAUUACCUACUAAAUACAUACCAUCAAAACGUUAUUUUUGCUUUUCCUCCUUGUUACUCAAAAUCAAAUGAAACAUUAUGCGCAAUCAUCUAUACUUAAAUAUACUUUUUUUGAUCCUAUUUAUAAAGUAGAGAGAGAGAGAAAUUUUUUUAAUCUUAUUUAUAAAUCACGUUAUUAAAUUUUCAUUAUAAAAAUUCUCUUACCCUUCAUUAAAUGUUGGAGAGAGAAAAUAAAUUAUUGAAGUUUAUCUAUUUAAUAGGGAUAAAGUUAAAAACU